rnacentral:rRNA from 1 species
GAUGAACGCUGGCGGCGUGCCUAAUACAUGCAAGUCGAGCGAACAGACGAGGAGCUUGCUCCUCUGACGUUAGCGGCGGACGGGUGAGUAACACGUGGAUAACCUACCUAUAAGACUGGGAUAACUUCGGGAAACCGGAGCUAAUACCGGAUAAUAUAUUGAACCGCAUGGUUCAAUAGUGAAAGACGGUUUUGCUGUCACUUAUAGAUGGAUCCGCGCCGCAUUAGCUAGUUGGUAAGGUAACGGCUUACCAAGGCAACGAUGCGUGCCGACCUGAGAGGGUGAUCGGCCACACUGGAACUGAGACACGGUCCAGACUCCUACGGGAGGCAGCAGUAGGGAAUCUUCCGCAAUGGGCGAAAGCCUGACGGAGCAACGCCGCGUGAGUGAUGAAGGUCUUCGGAUCGUAAAACUCUGUUAUUAGGGAAGAACAAAUGUGUAAGUAACUAUGCACGUCUUGACGGUACCUAAUCAGAAAGCCAGGGCUAACUACGUG